CAUGGAGGGUGAGAAUCCCGUCCGGUUGAUCAUUUGCGUUUUAUGAUACGCUUUCUAAGAGUCAAGUUGUUUGGGAUUGCAGCUUAAAAUGGGAGGUAAAUUUCUCCUAAGGCUAAAUAACGGCGAGAGACCGAUAGCGAACAAGUACCGUGAGGGAAAGAUGAAAAGAACUUUGAAAAGAGAGUUAAACAGUACGUGAAAUUGUUGAAAGGGAAACGAUUGAAGCCAGUCGUACCUUCGGGUAAUCAGCCUUUUCGGGUGCGAUUCUGUGGGGUUUGAUGAGCUUAACACCUUCAUGCUCUGCAUAUUCGUGCUCUUGGGUGUACUUGCCCGUGUGGUUGGUUAACAUCAAUUUUGGUGGUCAUAAAAUGACUGGAGGAAUGUAGCUUCGAUCUUGUAUUGAAGUGUUAUAGCCUUCGGUAGAUGUGAUGAACGAGAUUGAGGAUUGCAACGGAUACCCUUUGGGGCUACCUGUCUGGUCUCUGAUCGUUGCUCUGGUGCCGAAAGCUUGCUUACGGUUAUCAAAGUCGAUGGUCAAUAGGUUAGAACGGGUUAAAUUCGUUAAGGAUGUUGACGUAAUGG
rnacentral:rRNA from 1 species